rnacentral:rRNA from 1 species
AUGAACGCUAGCUACAGGCUUAACACAUGCAAGUCGAGGGGCAGCAUGGUCUUAGCUUGCUAAGGCCGAUGGCGACCGGCGCACGGGUGAGUAACACGUAUCCAACCUGCCGUCUACUCUUGGACAGCCUUCUGAAAGGAAGAUUAAUACAAGAUGGCAUCAUGAGUCCACAUGUUCACAUGAUUAAAGGUAUUCCGGUAGACGAUGGGGAUGCGUUCCAUUAGAUAGUAGGCGGGGUAACGGCCCACCUAGUCUUCGAUGGAUAGGGGUUCUGAGAGGAAGGUCCCCCACAUUGGAACUGAGACACGGUCCAAACUCCUACGGGAGGCAGCAGUGAGGAAUAUUGGUCAAUGGGCGAGAGCCUGAACCAGCCAAGUAGCGUGAAGGAUGACUGCCCUAUGGGUUGUAAACUUCUUUUGUAAAGGAAUAAAGUCGGGUAUGGAUACCCGUUUGCAUGUACUUUAUGAAUAAGGAUCGGCUAACUCCGUGCCAGCAGCCGCGGUAAUACGGAGGAUCCGAGCGUUAUCCGGAUUUAUUGGGUUUAAAGGGAGCGUAGAUGGAUGUUUAAGUCAGUUGUGAAAGUUUGCGGCUCAACCGUAAAAUUGCAGUUGAUACUGGAUAUCUUGAGUGCAGUUGAGGCAGGCGGAAUUCGUGGUGUAGCGGUGAAAUGCUUAGAUAUCACGAAGAACUCCGAUUGCGAAGGCAGCCUGCUAAGCUGCAACUGACAUUGAGGCUCGAAAGUGUGGGUAUCAAACAGGAUUAGAUACCCUGGUAGUCCACACGGUAAACGAUGAAUACUCGCUGUUUGCGAUAUACGGCAAGCGGCCAAGCGAAAGCGUUAAGUAUUCCACCUGGGGAGUACGCCGGCAACGGUGAAACUCAAAGGAAUUGACGGGGGCCCGCACAAGCGGUGGAGCAUGUGGUUUAAUUCGACGCAACGCGAAGAACCUUACCAGGUCUUGACAUCCACUUAAACUUACAGAGAUGUAAGGUGUGCUUGCACAAAGUGAGACAGGUGGUGCAUGGUUGUCGUCAGCUCGUGUCGUGAGAUGUUGGGUUAAGUCCCGCAACGAGCGCAACCCCUGUUUCUAGUUGCCAGCAUGUAAAGAUGGGAACUCUAGAAAGACUGCCGUAGAUAAUACGGAGGAAGGUGGGGAUGACGUCAAAUCAGCACGGCCCUUACGUCCGGGGCUACACACGUGUUACAAUGGGGGGUACAGAGGGCCGCUACCACGCGAGUGGAUGCCAAUCCCAAAAACCUCUCUCAGUUCGGACUGGAGUCUGCAACCCGACUCCACGAAGCUGGAUUCGCUAGUAAUCGCGCAUCAGCCACGGCGCGGUGAAUACGUUCCCGGGCCUUGUACACACCGCCCGUCACACCAUGAGAGCCGGGGGGACCCGAAGUCGGUAGUCUAACCGCAAGGAGGACGCCGCCGAAGGUAAAACUGGUGAUUGGGGUG